rnacentral:rRNA from 1 species
UACGAAGGGGGCUAGCGUUGUUCGGAAUUACUGGGCGUAAAGCGCGCGCAGGCGGCUCUUCAAGUCAGGGGUGAAAGCCCAGAGCUCAACUCUGGAACUGCCUUUGAGACUGAAGAGCUUGAGUACGGGAGAGGUGAGUGGAAUUCCCAGUGUAGAGGUGAAAUUCGUAGAUAUUGGGGAAGAACACCAGUGGCGAAGGCGGCUCACUGGCCCGAUACUGACGCUGAGGCACGAAAGCGUGGGGAGCAAACAGGG